rnacentral:tRNA from 1 species
UGGGGUAUCGCCAAGCGGUAAGGCACUGGACUCUGACUCCAGCAUUCCGCAGGUUCGAAUCCUGCUACCCCAGCCA